rnacentral:sRNA from 1 species
GCUAUGGAGACUGCUCAAGGAACCAGAUGCCUGCAUGCAGGAUGAUUGUUUGCUACACUUCGAUCGGUCUUGAAGAUCAGCAUGAAUCAAUGACCUCACACAGUCACACUAGGUCCUGUUUACUUUUCUUCAAAAAAAAAAAUACAAAAAAAAACGCGACUACGCUAAUGAGCGAAUGUGCUCCAAUUCGACAGCCACUUCGCCAUUGUUGGCCAUUUUUUACCUUUCAUCCUCACACAACUACUAGCCAGUCUUGCCGCUGAUGUGACUUUUCCAUGGUUGUGAUUGUUUUUCAGCUUAACAUCAAUCACUUCAGCCAAUCUAUUCUCUUUAACAUCAACAAAUUUAAAAUAGUAAUGAAAUUCUUUUUGUCCGAAAAUUUAGUUUUUGAUAGUCAAUGAUGUCUGAAAUCUAUUACUUAACGGUACAUUAAUUUCUAUAAAAACCCUAUAGGGCUACUUUGUUUUAACAUUACUUCUUAAGUUUCAAUAUUAGUGAUGAU